CGCGCACGGUGCCAAGCCAUCAGCCUCUCCAGUCCUCCUCGAUAAUCGUGCCGUUGUCGCCGAGGUUCACCUCUACGGCGACGUUGUGUUAAGAUAUGUGAGCUACAGGAAUUCUGAAAGCGACGACUCUGACCCUGGUAGUUGGUUUUUGCCCAAAUUUGAGGCAGUCGAGGCAGCAUCGUCUUUUCCGUUGGAUUAUGGGAUUAGGAGAUUGGACCAUGCGGUUGGAAACGUUCCUGAAUUAGCUCAGGCGGUGAAUUACGUUAAGGAAUUCACCGGUUUUCAUGAAUUUGCAGAGUUCACGGCGGAGGAUGUUGGGACUAGCGAGAGUGGACUGAAUUCGGUUGUUUUGGCUAAUAACGAAGAGACGGUACUGUUUCCAAUGAACGAGCCGGUUUUUGGGACCAAAAGGAAGAGUCAGAUACAGACUUAUCUAGAGCACAACGAAGGGGCUGGGUUGCAACAUUUGGCGCUUGUGAGUGAGGAUAUUUUCAGGACUUUGAGGGAGAUGAGGAAGAGGAGU
rnacentral:lncRNA from 1 species